CAACCAUGGCCUUUCCUUUUCUCUCAUAAUUUCUCGUUUUCAAAAUCGCCCAAGAAUGGGGUUGCUGGCAAAGGUUCGAGCAUACUGGAAAAACAAAAUACGCAGGGUUCGACCAAUAGAGCCACUGCAGUCCGAUAACCGAAAGAUAGAUCAGUCUAGAUCGGAGAUUUAUUUCCAUCCCUCGCAGGCAUUUCAGUCGCUUAAGCGGGAUUUUGAUGCCGAAUCGGAACAAGGCAAUCACCAAGACCAUUGUUGCCUAUCCAAGCCUUAAGAUGAUCUUUGAAUCCUUUCUUGAAAGUAUCCUAUCUGUGAGUUUAGUAACCAACCAUAAACACCCAAUCUGAUUGGAAGAAGCCCAACCCUUGAGCCUACUUUAAAGAGGAAUAUCGUGGAACACGACUUAAGCCAGCGGAUAGCCGCAGGAAAUUCAAGCUCUCUGCAUGGUGCCAAAUAAAAAGAGCCACAAAAUCCAUUAAGACACAGCUAGCGGCAAUGGUAGUGGCAGUGGCAGUCCUCCUGCUCCAAUCCUCGUCCUUGCGCUCAUCCCCAUCGUGAUCCUGAUCCUGCCACCCACUGCAUCAUGCCCGCGUGGGCGCAACCCCAUUUUAAGGCCGCGCAUAAAAGUUAAUUCCGUUGCUCGUCGGUGGCCGAGAAAAAGGGCUAACAAAACUAUUAAAAUGCCGGCGACACCAU
ensembl:ncRNA lncRNA:CR42836 long non-coding RNA:CR42836